rnacentral:rRNA from 1 species
UACGUAGGGUGCGCGCGUUAAUCGGAAUUACUGGGCGUAAAGCGUGCGCAGGCGGCUUCGCAAGUCAGACGUGAAAUCCCCGGGCUUAACCUGGGAAUGGCGUUUGAAACUACGGAGCUGGAGUGUGGCAGAGGGAGGUAGAAUUCCACGUGUAGCGGUGAAAUGCGUAGAUAUGUGGAGGAAUACCGAUGGCGAAGGCAGCCUCCUGGGCCAACACUGACGCUCAUGCACGAAAGCGUGGGGAGCAAACAGG